UGGUGUGUUGGUUUCUCACUUGCGAGGAGCAGUGCAUAACGGAAGCUUAAAUUGGCUGUGGAAAGUGGCAUUGCCGUUGCAGCACCGAAGUUGUAGGCUCUCAUCUAUGUCUAGAUUCUUUCGUUGCACGUGGCGAGUGCGCGUGUCUGCAUGCUGGAAAGAGUGACAAGUGUUGCUAGCAAUGCUCUCCAGCUGCAGUGUGCUGCAUGGGUGUCGUCCUGCCUAGCAAUUUGGUUUUUAGCAUGGUUGGUCUUCAAUUCCUAACAUGUCUCACACAUAGCAAAAAUGAUGAUUUUUAAGAUUGACUAUUUGUUGCUCCAUCGCUUGUCAUAUUUGGCUAGUCAGAAAUACUUUCAUUUCAAACUAUGGAUUACGGCACACUCAUAACUCUUUCGAAAGCUCG
rnacentral:lncRNA from 1 species